rnacentral:rRNA from 1 species
AACGCGAAGAACCUUACCUACCCUUAUCAUGGUCGGAAUCCUGCUGAGAGGUGGGAGUGCUCGAAAGAGAACCGGCGCACAGGUGCUGCAUGGCUGUCGUCAGCUGGUGUCGUGAGAUGUUGGGUUAAGUCCCGCAACGAGCGCAUCCCUUGUCCUUAGUUGCUACGCAAGAGCACUAUAAGGAGACUGCCGGUGACAAACCGGAGGAAGGUGGGGAUGACGUCAAGUCCUCAUGGCCCUUAUGGGUAGGGCUUCCCCCGUCAUCCAAUGGUCGUACCAGAGGGUUCCCAACCCGCGAGGGGGAGCUAAUCCCAGAAACCCCUUCCUAGUCCGGAUUGCACUCUGCAACUCGAGUCCAUGAAGCUGGAAUCGCUAGUAAUCGCGGAUCAGCAUUCC